CCCCGCUCCGAUUGGCUCGUCCCCUCGACCUCUCUCCUGAUUGGUGACUGGAGCAGUCAAAUUCCUCUCGGCGCCGGGGGCGCGCGGAGUCGGGGCGGGGGAGGCAGCGCGGGCGGAGGGGGUGGCUGAGGAGGGGACCCGGCCUGACGUGCGAGGCGUGGGAGCCGGGGCCGGAGGGGGGGCUCCAGGCCGGUCCCUUCCUUGCGCUUUCCCGCCGCGAGGCUGCGCUCCUGGGGACCCGGGGGUCGCGGCGUUUACGAAGUGGAUUGGCUCCCGGACUCGCGGGCUUCGAAGCCGCGGUGGAGACCGACGGGCAGGCCGAGGGGCCGGCAGCCGGCCGGGUGGGCCGCAGGGGGCGUCUGGGCCGCGGGAGCUGGGCUGGUCCAGGCUCGCGUCGGCCCGGCCGUCCGGACAGGGCGUGAGGCGACACCUCCGGUGGCCGCGGUCCAGGGGAGGCAGCCCCAGACGAACGUCGUCUCCCUCCCGAAUGUCACAUUUACGUGAAACUUUCCACGGUUGGCCACCACCCAGAUGCGAAGUGUUUUGGAAAAAAUGAGCAAAAGCCUUUCAGCUCUGCGGCUUAGCGGCUGGGGGGCGGCCGCGGGCGCGGGCGGGAGCGGAGGAAUGCCGGAGCUCGACGGCUUGCCUCUGAAACAAUUAUUUUUUAAUGUACGCUGCUGCCCCCCAAAUGUUUCUGGACAGCAGGGAUUCCCCGAACAUUAGUUUGCUGGAAAGCAAAAUUGUGGAUACUCUUCGAUUUUAAAAGCGGCUCAUCAUUUUAAGAUACGAGCCCCCGAGUGCGGGCCCCUCGAAUCGCUUCGGCUUCGUAUCCCCCCACCCGGUUAUCCUUUUGGACCUGUGGGGAAAGAGCCAAGGAUGGGGUAAACCCCGGGGUUUUCUCCGAGCCCACCUAUGCCCUGGCAGUGCGUAGACCCACGAAGAAUGGCAUGUCCCAAAGAGUGGAUGCCCCUUCACCUGGGUCCCAGAAGGAUGAAACGAAGUUGAAGAUGAUUGCGAUUGACAAAUAACGUGAAGAGAAAGAAAACUUCCUAUUACAUGUAGAGGAUUUAAAUUCCAGAUUGACCCUUCCUGACUCCUCUUCCAGACAACCUCCUCCAUCAAGGUAGUCCUGAAACUAACCUGGGUAAAAAUUAACUAGU